rnacentral:rRNA from 1 species
UACAGAGGGUGCGAGCGUUGUCCGGAAUCACUGGGCGUAAAGGGCGCGUAGGCGGCCUGCUAAGUAGAGGGUGAAAUCCUGCGGCUCAACCGCAGGGCUGCCUUCUAAACUGUCAGGCUAGAGCACAGUAGAGGCAGGUGGAAUUCCCGGUGUAGCGGUGGAAUGCGUAGAGAUCGGGAAGAACAUCAGUGGCGAAGGCGGCCUGCUGGGCUGUUGCUGACGCUGAGGCGCGACAGCGUGGGGAGCAAACAGG